AGGCUGGUCUCUGCACCCGCCCUAUGGAGCCUCCAUGUUUAUCCAGAGGCCUCAGUGGGGUCCAGGCAUGGGCUCAGAGGGGGUGCUCUCAACGCCACAUCCCUCUCUGAGGCUGCAUCGCUGGAAGGGGUCCACACGGCAGGUGCAGUGGCCCAACCCACAUCCUGAGGACAAGGUGGAAGAGGGGGGAGGCUUGGAACCCCCUGGGGCUGGCUUGCAGGUCAACCCGCAGACGCUUCCUCUCCGUGACCUGAUGACCUCUCCAGCACACGCCUUUGACCCAGCAACAACCCCACAGUUACAGCUUCAUGUGCGUCAGUGACAUAGGUGUAAGGAGGUUACCCUUGAUGAUAACGGAUGGAACGCAACCAAUCGGUUAGAAGCCUUUGGAGCAAAAACUGAGGUUUAUUGGAGGGAAAGGAAUUCUGCCUCCAGACCUGAGCAUCAGCUCCUGCCUGCUGACCUGGAGACAUACCAGCCCCCACAAUCUUGUGAUCCAGUCCUUGAAAGAAAUCUCUUUAUAGGUGACAGUUCGGCCAAAAUGAUCGGCCGAUAGAUAAGGAGGUGGUGCCCUAAAGAGAAUGUGUGACUCAUUCUUCAGGACUUGAUAAAUCAGAGGAGUCAAAGCAGGACCAGACUCCAGGCCAGCAUCCUUCCCGUUACACCACAUCACAUUCCACAGCCCUGACUCCCAUCCGAGCUCUUCCCGGACACCUAACCGAUCCACGGCCCACUCAAGGGCUUCCAUGCAAGGGAGUUUCCUGUCCUCUCUCCUCCCCAUGGACACCUGAGGAGGGGUCUGCACGGACAGGUCUUUAUUAUGUUGGCUCUAAAGUGUUACUCUAGUAAGCAGCUACUCCAGUGACACCUUGGAAACCAGGCAGAAUAAAGAGGGACUGGCUCAUGUGAAAGGCCUCGGGACUUUCCAACCACAGACUCACAUGUAGGAACCUAAGUCCACAGCAAGGCCACCAGCCAGUCCCUGAGGGCCACAGUGAGCAGUGAGCAUGCUGGCAUCUACUCCCAGGAGAGAUAAGCUUAGGAUACUCUGCUAAGUGGAAGAAGCAGGUUACAAAGUAAUCGUUACAGCACCCUUGCAGUUUUAUAAACAGAGAGUAACAAUGUCUGAAAGCAAAAAUGCACACUAUGUCCAAGUAAUUAUU